GGACUACAGGGGUAUCUAAUCCUGUUUGCUCCCCACGCUUUCGCACCUCAGUGUCAGUGUCAGUCCAGGUAGUCGCCUUCGCCACUGGUGUUCCUUCCAAUAUCUACGCAUUUCACCGCUACACUGGAAAUUCCACUACCCUCUACCGCACUCUAGCCAGACAGUUUUGGAUGCAGUUCCCAGGUUGAGCCCGGGGAUUUCACAUCCAACUUAUCAAGCCACCUACGCGCGCUUUACGCCCAGUAAUUCCGAUUAACGCUUGCACCCUUCGUAUUACCGCGGCUGCUGGCAC
rnacentral:rRNA from 2 species